rnacentral:rRNA from 1 species
GAUGAACGCUGGCGGCGUGCCUAAUACAUGCAAGUCGAGCGAACAGACGAGGAGCUUGCUCCUCUGAUGUUAGCGGCGGACGGGUGAGUAACACGUGGAUAACCUACCUAUAAGACUGGGAUAACUUCGGGAAACCGGAGCUAAUACCGGAUAACAUGUUGAACCGCAUGGUUCAACAGUGAAAGACGGUCUUGCUGUCACUUAUAGAUGGAUCCGCGCCGCAUUAGCUAGUCGGUAAGGUAACGGCUUACCAAGGCAACGAUGCGUAGCCGACCUGAGAGGGUGAUCGGCCACACUGGAACUGAGACACGGUCCAGACUCCUACGGGAGGCAGCAGUAGGGAAUCUUCCGCAAUGGGCGAAAGCCUGACGGAGCAACGCCGCGUGAGUGAAGAGGGUCUUCGGAUCGUAAAACUCUGUUAUUAGGGAAGAACAAAUGUGUAAGUAACUAUGCACGUCUUGACGGUACCUAAUCAGAAAGCCACGGCUAACUACGUG